rnacentral:misc_RNA from 1 species
UUGGCUUCAACUUUUGAGCCAUCAACAACAGUUAUACUCCCAAUCCCACCAAGAACAAGAUUCUUAAGUGUUUCAGCCCCGGUAGGACCACAAUUAAGCAAACAGAUGCUAGCUUUCUCAAGAGCCGCUUGUCCUUGUUCUCCCCAAAUCCUGAGUUGACGAUCGUACUUCGUCUUCGGCUCAACCGUCAUCGUCGCGAGUGG